AAAAGAGAAGGGGAAUUAAAUGCAAUUUCUAGUGAAGAAAAGCAAAGAAUAAGAAAUUAUAUAUUAGUCAAGGGGAGAAUAGAAGUGAAAAUUUUUUUUUUCCUUGCAGAAUUAUAUAAGUGAAAGCACCUUCUGAAAAAGUUUGUAUAAAUCAAGAGUGAGAUUAGAAAUUUCUUUUAAUUUAUGCUCUGUGUAUCUGGAAUCCAUCCUGAGGCCUAAAUGCUGAAGAAAUAAUUAAAAUAUAAAUCUUUACUGUUAGUUUCUCCUUCUUGACUUUGUGGACAGUUGCAGUGUAUUGGUUAAGUUGUAUAGAGGAUUUUCCUGCCCAUUUUAACUUUGCUUGCAGUGUAAUAUUUACAAAUCUUGUUUGCAGUGUAAUAUUUACAAAUUUUGCUUUGAAUUUUUUACAAAUUUUUAAAAAUUAAAAAUUGAAGUUUUAAUUGGCUUUUCUAUGGCACUAACGCUAAUAUUAACCAAUGCUUCAUAAAUAUCAACAAACUUAUAUUAGAAGCAGCUCAUUUUGUGAGCUGACAUCUAAUUUUUACCCUUCCUAAUUUACUAGGACAUUAAAUUAAAAUUAUUACAGUUUUUUUGAAUACUCAGCAGAAAGGUCUGGAAACUGAUUUGGGAAAGUGUUUAGUGUUCUGUGACACUUCACACUGAAAGUACAUCCCAAAUGCCCUUCUGGUCUCUAGCAAGCACCCAGAUCAGCUGCCAGUUAUCUGUGGAAAACCUAAUUAAAGGCCUGAUAGCAAAAUUCAGAACAGCCAAAUCCUGACUGCACGGUUUACUGUAAAAGGUUUGUUUAUGCCUCACAUGUACCUCUCUGUCAGGAUGACUGCAAUGUCUCCCACAAAUGAGGAAAUAGGGCUUUUGUUACAAAACAAGUUCUGUCACUGUCACCUCAUGUCACAUGGGUGAAUCCUUUGUCUAAAUCAAGUCACUUUUCUAGGAAAUCACAGAGGUUAUCCUCUUUGCCGAAGCAAUAAUAUUCCUUAUUCACUUUACAUUUAUUUUUUUCCACCUGUCUCUUGCUAUUUCUGCGGAAAAAUCUCUCUGAUCUAUUUUUAAAUUGCUUUUGGAUCCCAGUUAAUUCUGUUCCCUUUUUCUCCCUCUCAUUUUUCGAUUCAUUUUAUUGUCUGUCUACCUUGUUGCAGGAUCCUUUCUUUGUUAUAUCCUUUCUUUGUGAAUUAAGUUAAUCCAUUUUUUGGAGUGUAAUGAACACAUUUGGAAUAAGAGUUUAUGCACAGGAAGCUGAUCAAAGACAAAAUAACCUGUCUCUGAAGGACAAUCCUUAUUAAAGUCCUUAGCCAAAUACCAAUAUUUGGGUUUUUACAUCUGCAUGUAAAACCUGGCUUUAGUUAUUUUAAUGCCAGCUUCACUUCUGGCAUGCUUGAAAGCAGCAUUAUGGUGAACUGCAAUAUGCUAAUUUUUGCAAUACUAAAACUUUUGUUAAUAGGUUCUACCAGUUGGUACAUAGGGAAGAGGAAACAUGAAAAUAAACCUCAACAAACAAUUCAGUAUGGAAUUCUCCCCAGAGAUGUCUAUUCAGCUGUUCUGAUACACAAUUUGGAAAAUUCUAUGGUGGUAUGAGGAGAGGAGGCCGUAUUUCAUCGAAUCAAGAAUUGCUAUGGUUGGAAUGGACUUCUGGGGAUCAUCUUGCCCAAAACCCCUGCCAAGGCAAGGCCACCUAGGGCAGGUUACACAGGAGUGUGUGCAGUCUUCUGCAGACUAAACUGGCCCAGCUCCCUGAGUCUCUCCUCACAUGAGAGAUGCUCCACACCCCAACUCUUCUUUGUGGCCUCUGCUGGACUUGCUCCAGUAACUCCUUGUCUAUCUUGUGCUGAGGAACUCAGAAGUGGACACAGUACUCCUGAUGUGACCUCACCAGGGCUGAGAAGAGGGUCAGGACCACCUCCCUCCACCUGAUGGCCACACUCUUCCCAAUGCACCCCAGGAUACCACUGGCCACAAAGGCGCUGCCAGCUCAUGGUCAGCUUGUCACACACCAGGACCCCCAAGUCCUUCUCCACAGAGCUGCUCUCCAGUAGGUCAGCCUGUGCUGGUACUUGAGGUUUUUCCUUCCCAGGUACAGGACCCUGCACUCUCCUGUUGAACUUCACUAGGUUUCUCAGUGUCCAGACUAGUUCUCCAGACUAUUCUGUCUGUCUCCAUCCUAUUUCUGUCUGUCUGGUUAGUUCAAGGAUAGUAAUAUCAGGGUCCCUGGCUACCAACACAGCUUACAAUUCUGGGAUUUUUUCCUGCCCUAACGCUCUCUUGUCCCCCCUUUUGUCCCAGCUAGCUCCG